rnacentral:rRNA from 1 species
UAGCCUUGACAUAUAUUAGAACUCACCAGAGAUGGAGAGGUGCCUUCGGGAGCUUUUAUACAGGUGCUGCACGGCUGUCGUCAGCUCGUGUCGUGAGAUGUUGGGUUAAGUCCCGCAACGAGCGCAACCCUCGUCACUAGUUACUAACGGUUCGGCCGAGGACUCUAGUGAGACUGCCUUCGUAAGGAGGAGGAAGGUGAGGACGACGUCAAGUCAUCAUGGCCCUUACGGCUAGGGCAACACACGUGCUACAAUGGUUAGGACAAUGAGAAGCGAUACCGCGAGGUGGAGCAAAUCUAUAAACCUAAUCUCAGUUCGGAUAGCAGUCUGCAACUCGACUGCUUGAAGCUGGAAUCACUAGUAAUCGUAAAUCAGCUAUGUUACGGUGAAUACGUUCCCGGGUCU